GAAAUAUUGUGUUCACUGGGCCACUUUUGGUAAGCAGAAAUGGUGUUGUGGGCUGGACCACACCGUUAUGUUAGGUGCCAAAAUUAACAACUCAUACAGAUACCCUGCAAGGCGUUGCUUGCUUAAGACAGCAGGACGGUGGACUUGGAAGUCGUAAUCCGCUAAGGAGUGUGUAACAACUCACCUGCCGAAGCAACUAGCCCUUAAAAUGGAUGGCGCUUAAGUUGUAUACCUAUACAUAAUCGUUAAUGUAGAUGAUUUA
rnacentral:rRNA from 1 species